GCGCUCGCUUCGGCAGCACAUAUACUAAUAUUGGAACGAUACACAGAAGAUAAGCAUGGCCCCUGCGCAAGGAUGACAUGCAAGUUCGUGAAGCAUUCCAUAUUUUU
rnacentral:snRNA from 1 species